UACGUAGGGGGCAAGCGUUGUCCGGAUUUAUUGGGCGUAAAGAGCGUGUAGGCGGCUUCACAGGUCCGCUGUGAAAACUCGAGGCUCAACCUCGAGAUGUCGGCGGAAACCGUGUGGCUAGAGUCCGGAAGAGGAGAGUGGAAUUCCCGGUGUAGCGGUGAAAUGCGCAGAUAUCGGGAAGAACACCCGUGGCGAAGGCGGCUCUCUGGGACGGUACUGACGCUGAGACGCGAAAGCGUGGGGAGCGAACAGG
rnacentral:rRNA from 1 species